GAUGAACGCUAGCGGCAGGCUUAACACAUGCAAGUCGAGGGGCAGCAUUAUCUGCUUGCAGAUAGAUGGCGACCGGCGCACGGGUGCGUAACGCGUAUGCAACCUACCUCAUACAGGAGGAUAGCCCGAAGAAAUUCGGAUUAAUACUCCAUGGUAAUGUCAAUUCGCAUGAUGAGACAUUUAAAGAUUUAUCGGUAUGAGAUGGGCAUGCGUUAGAUUAGCUAGUUGGAGAGGUAACGGCUCACCAAGGCUACGAUCUAUAGGGGGCCUGAGA
rnacentral:rRNA from 1 species